rnacentral:rRNA from 1 species
UGGGGAAUUUUGCGCAAUGGGGGAAACCCUGACGCAGCAACGCCGCGUGGAGGAUGAAAUCCCUUGGGAUGUAAACUCCUUUCGAUGGGGAAGAUAAUGACGGUACCCAUAGAAGAAGCCCCGGCUAACUUCGUGCCAGCAGCCGCGGUAAUACGAGGGGGGCAAGCGUUGUUCGGAAUUAUUGGGCGUAAAGGGUGCGUAGGCGGUCUGACAAGUCUGAUGUGAAAUCUAUGGGCUCAACCCAUAGUCUGCAUCGGAAACUGUCGGGCUUGAGUAUGGGAGAGGUGAGUGGAAUUCCUGGUGUAGCGGUGAAAUGCGUAGAUAUCAGGAGGAACACCUGUGGCGAAGGCGGCUCACUGGACCAUAACUGACGCUGAUGCACGAAAGCUAGGGGAGCAAAC